CUUCUUGGAUGAGUUGCGAACGGGUGAGUAACGCGUAGGUAACCUGCCUUGUAGCGGGGGAUAACUAUUGGAAACGAUAGCUAAUACCGCAUAACAAUGGAUGACACAUGUCAUUUAUUUGAAAGGGGCAAUUGCUCCACUACAAGAUGGACCUGCGUUGUAUUAGCUAGUAGGUGAGGUAACGGCUCACCUAGGCGACGAUACAUAGCCGACCUGAGAGGGUGAUCGGCCACACUGGGACUGAGACACGGCCCAGACUCCUACGGGAGGCAGCAGUAGGGAAUCUUCGGCAAUGGGGGCAACCCUGACCGAGCAACGCCGCGUGAGUGAAGAAGGUUUUCGGAUCGUAAAGCUCUGUUGUAAGUCAAGAACGAGUGUGAGAGUGGAAAGUUCACACUGUGACGGUAGCUUACCAGAAAGGGACGGCUAACUACGUGCCAGCAGCCGCGGUAAUACGUAGGUCCCGAGCGUUGUCCGGAUUUAUUGGGCGUAAAGCGAGCGCAGGCGGUUUGAUAAGUCUGAAGUUAAAGGCUGUGGCUCAACCAUAGUUCGCUUUGGAAACUGUCAAACUUGAGUGCAGAAGGGGAGAGUGGAAUUCCAUGUGUAGCGGUGAAAUGCGUAGAUAUAUGGAGGAACACCGGUGGCGAAAGCGGCUCUCUGGUCUGUAACUGACGCUGAGGCUCGAAAGCGUGGGGAGCGAACAGGAUUAGAUACCCUGGUAGUCCACGCCGUAAACGAUGAGUGCUAGGUGUUGGAUCCUUUCCGGGAUUCAGUGCCGCAGCUAACGCAUUAAGCACUCCGCCUGGGGAGUACGACCGCAAGGUUGAAACUCAAAGGAAUUGACGGGGGCCCGCACAAGCGGUGGAGCAUGUGGUUUAAUUCGAAGCAACGCGAAGAACCUUACCAGGUCUUGACAUCCCGAUGCUAUUUCUAGAGAUAGAAAGUUACUUCGGUACAUCGGUGACAGGUGGUGCAUGGUUGUCGUCAGCUCGUGUCGUGAGAUGUUGGGUUAAGUCCCGCAACGAGCGCAACCCCUAUUGUUAGUUGCCAUCAUUCAGUUGGGCACUCUAGCGAGACUGCCGGUAAUAAACCGGAGGAAGGUGGGGAUGACGUCAAAUCAUCAUGCCCCUUAUGACCUGGGCUACACACGUGCUACAAUGGUUGGUACAACGAGUUGCGAGUCGGUGACGGCAAGCUAAUCUCUUAAAGCCAAUCUCAGUUCGGAUUGUAGGCUGCAACUCGCCUACAUGAAGUCGGAAUCGCUAGUAAUCGCGGAUCAGCACGCCGCGGUGAAUACGUUCCCGGGCCUUGUACACACCGCCCGUCACACCACGAGAGUUUGUAACACCCGAAGUCGGUGAGGUAACCUU
rnacentral:rRNA from 1 species